UACGUAGGGUGCAAGCGUUGCCCGGAUUUAUUGGGCGUAAAGGGCGCGUAGGCGGCUCGGCACGUCCGUUGUGAAAUCGCCCCGGCUCAACUGGGCGGGGUCAGCGGAUACGGUCGAGCUUGAGCAAGCUAGGGGGCAAUGGAAUUCCCGGUGUAGUGGUGGAAUGCGUAGAUAUCAAGAGGAACACCUGCGGCGAAGGCGGGUUGCUGGGCCGACACUGACGCUGAGGCGCGAAAGCUAGGGGAGCGAACGGG
rnacentral:rRNA from 1 species